UCGUAAGUCCACAAUGCAAUGUGAUCUUCGCUGUCAAAGAUGGCGGAUCAAUGUGUUCUUCCCGAGGUGUUGUUCCACCAACGUUCCAUCAAACGCACGAAGCAUGUCUACAGCUUACCAGCCACCUUCGACUGAUAAUCUUAAUGUCACUAUUUCCUUCAAGAGUAUGAUCACCUUUGGAAGAAGGGCUGAUGUAAGCAAAAAUAGCAAAACAAAUCAACUGUGUGAUGAGUUGAUGAAGCUCGAAUUUCCACUGUGAAGGGAUAAUGAAGAUGAUGUUUAGAGCAUUAGCCCUUCGUCGGAUUGAACCAUCAGAACUCUUAAUUGAGAAAGGGACGAUCAUUAGUAGUCUGAUCAUUGGAUAAAAACAGGGAUUUAAUUGGAAACUCUAAAUUGGGAAGUGGACGAGAGAUAUAAAAGGACACAAGCUGGCUGGGUCACUGGAGAGAAACGGGAAACUACUAA